CCCUUAGAUGUUCUGGGCUGCACGCGCGCUACACUGAUGCGCUCAACGAGUUUUAACCUUGCCUGGAAAGGUUGGGUAAUCUUUUUAAAACGCAUCGUGAUGGGGAUAGAUUAUUGCAAUUAUUAAUCUUCAACGAGGAAUUCCCAGUAAGCGCAAGUCAUCAGCUUGCGUUGAUUACGUCCCUGCCCUUUGUACACACCGCCCGUCGCUACUACCGAUUGGAUGGCUUAGUGAGACCCUCGGACCGAUAGGCUGUCGCCGCGGCAACGUGGCGACCGGCCCGUCGGGAAGAAGGUCAAACUUGACUGUCUAGAGGAAGUAAAAGUCGUAACA
rnacentral:rRNA from 1 species